rnacentral:rRNA from 1 species
CCAGACUCCUACGGGAGGCAGCAGUGGGGAAUAUUGCACAAUGGGGGAAACCCUGAUGCAGCGACGCCGCGUGAGCGAUGAAGUAUUUCGGUAUGUAAAGCUCUAUCAGCAGGGAAGAAAAUGACGGUACCUGACUAAGAAGCCCCGGCUAACUACGUGCCAGCAGCCGCGGUCAUACGUAGGGGGCAAGCGUUAUCCGGAUUUACUGGGUGUAAAGGGAGCGUAGACGGCAGUGCAAGUCUGGAGUGAAAGGCGGGGGCUCAACCCCCGGACUGCUCUGGAAACUGUACGGCUGGAGUGCAGGAGAGGUAAGGGGAAUUCCUAGGGUAGCGGUGAAAUGCGUAGAUAUUAGGAGGAACACCAGUGGCGAAGGCGGCUUACUGGACUGUAACUGACGUGGAGGCUCGAAAGCGUGGGGAGCAAACAGGAUUAGAUCCCCGAGUA